GACGAACGCUGGCGGCGUGCUUAACACAUGCAAGUCGAACGGAAAGGCCCUGCUUUUGUGGGGUGCUCGAGUGGCGAACGGGUGAGUAACACGUGAGUAACCUGCCCUUGACUUUGGGAUAACUUCAGGAAACUGGGGCUAAUACCGGAUAGGAGCUCCUGCUGCACGGUGGGGGUUGGAAAGUUUCGGCGGUUGGGGAUGGACUCGCGGCUUAUCAGCUUGUUUGUGGGGUAGUGGCUUACCAAGGCUUUGGCGGGUAGCCGGCCUGAGAGGGUGGCCGGCCACAUUGGGCCUGAGAUACGGCCCAGUCUCCUACGGGGGGCAGCAGUGGGGAAUAUUGCACAGUGGGCGGAAGCCUGAUGCGGCAACGCCGCGUGCGGGAUGACGGCCUUCGGGUUGUAAACCGCUUUCGCCUGUGACGAAGCGUGAGUGACGGUAAUGGGUAAAGAAGCACCGGCUAACUACGUG
rnacentral:rRNA from 1 species